UCAGGAUUAUAAUUGAUUCAGCAUGCCGAACAGUAUCACACCUAGGACUAAGGAUAACGUUUAACCGGACCUUAGAAUGGCCGGACUUAACGUACCGGAGAAUAGUCAAAAUACUUGCCGAGGUCAGGAACACAGAACGUGACACAACGAUGAGGAAAGCCAGAAGUCAAGAAUACCAGAAAUCAGGGAAGUCAAAACUAAGCCAAAGUCAAAUACCAGAAAAAACACGAUCAGGAACACACUCUCGGAUAAC